UACGUAGGAUGCAAGCGUUGUCCGGAAUUAUUGGGCGUAAAGCGCACGUAGGCGGCAUUGCAAGUCGGAUGUGAAAUCGCCCGGCUCAACUGGGCGGGGUCAGCGGAUACGGUCGAGCUUGAGCAAGCCAGGGGGCAAUGGAAUUCCCGGUGUAGUGGUGGAAUGCGUAGAUAUCGGGAGGAACAUCAGUGGCGAAGGCGGCCUGCUGGGCUGUUGCUGACGCUGAGGCGCGACAGCGUGGGGGAGCAAACAGG
rnacentral:rRNA from 1 species